rnacentral:rRNA from 1 species
CCCAUAUCACCCUAGAGGAGCCUGUCCUAUAAUCGAUGACCCACGCUGCACCCAACCUGCCCUUGCAAACUCAGCCUAUAUACCGCCGCCUCCAGUCUGCCCAAUGAUGGAACAAUAGCAGACAAAAUUGCCCCCACAAAGACGUCAGGUCAAGGUGUAGCUAAUGAGCAGGGAGAGAUGGGCUACAUUUUCUCUAACAGAAAAUACCACUAGCGCCAUGAAAUCUUCGCCAUCAAGGCGGAUUUAGCAGUAAGCCCAGACAGAGCUCCUGGACUGAAACACGCUCUGGGAUG